GUCGAGAAUCUUUCACAAUGGGGGCAACCCUGAUGGAGCGACGCCGCGUGGAGGAUAAGGUCUUCGGAUUGUAAACUCCUGUCAUGCGUGAACAAGGUUGCUUGGUUAAUACCUGGGCAAAUUGAUGGUAACGCAAGAGGAAGAGACGGCUAACUCUGUGCCAGCAGCCGCGGUAAUACAGAGGUCUCAAGCGUUGUUCGGAAUCACUGGGCGUAAAGGGUGCGUAGGUGGCGUGGUAAGUCAGAUGUGAAAGCCCGGGGCUCAACCUCGGAACUGCAUUCGAUACUGCCAUGCUAGAGUACUGGAGAGGUGACUAGAAUUCUCGGUGUAGCAGUGAAAUGCGUAGAUAUCGAGAGGAAUACCAAAGGCGUAGGCAGGUCACUGGACAGUUACUGACACUGAGGCACGAAGGCCAGGGGAGCGAACGGGAUUAGAAACCCGAGUAGUCC
rnacentral:rRNA from 1 species